GGGUAAAAAAAAAGGCCCGUUUAGAAAACGGGUCGGGCCUCGGGCAAAAUUUUUUGGGCCCGGCCCGGCCCGGAUAUAAUUAAUAUUUUUUUUAUUUUUAAAAUUUAUUAUUACAUUUCCCGUUUCCCAUUUCCCAUUUCUCGUGUAUCUGAUAAAUCCCUAACCCAUCCCCUCCUCCAUUUUUUUCCCCAAAUCGAAAAAUCACCUCCACCGAUCCACCAUUCCACCUCCGGUGUCCGGUCCUCCACGACUAUUAAAGUCCUUUCUUGUAAUAAUCUGGCUAUUGAGAGAAACAAGCUAUUGAGGCCGAAAAACAGCAGGCCCAGUCAGGUUGCUAUCACUUAGAGGUUGCUACCACACCCUUUCCUUCGAAACAAUCAAACUCAGAUCUUUUCAUAAAUGAUGUGUGUUUUUUUAGUAUUACUUAAAGACAUGUGACAAGUUUGAUCUUGUAUCACAAGGCUAGCAUAGUUAAAUAACUAGUUUAUAUCCUUUUACCAAAACUCAGAUCUUUGCUCAUUCCAUUAUGCUUACAAGUUACAACUAAACUUUAAUCUUUAUAUCCUUUUACCAAAAUGAUUAAAUUUUAGUUUCUAUACUUUAUUUUUUAACAUAAAA